rnacentral:rRNA from 1 species
GGGGAAUAUUGCACAAUGGGCGCAAGCCUGAUGCAGCGACGCCGCGUGGGGGAUGACGGCCUUCGGGUUGUAAACUCCUUUCAACCAUGACGAAGCUUUCGGGUGACGGUAGUGGUAGAAGAAGCACCGGCUAACUACGUGCCAGCAGCCGCGGUAAUACGUAGGGUGCGAGCGUUGUCCGGAAUUACUGGGCGUAAAGAGCUCGUAGGUGGUUUGUCGCGUCGUCUGUGAAAUUCCGGGGCUUAACUCCGGGCGUGCAGGCGAUACGGGCAUAACUUGAGUGCUGUAGGGGAGACUGGAAUUCCUGGUGUAGCGGUGAAAUGCGCAGAUAUCAGGAGGAACACCGAUGGCGAAGGCAGGUCUCUGGGCAGUAACUGACGCUGAGGAGCGAAAGCAUGGGUAGCGAAC